AAAAGAGUUCGUGCUGAUAUGCAAGAAGUCAAUUUCCUAUAUAUGUAUAAAGAUCUGGUGGGGCUUUGUCCCGCGUUUGUUAUGGAGAUAGCCGACAGGUGAUUGCUUUUCAGAAAAUGAACUAAAUCUAUCGUUUGUGGGGGCCUCUAUCAUCGAUUUUUUUACUAGUUCCUGGCGGACUCUAUUGAAAAUCAAAAUGAAAAAGAUUUCGCGUAGAGAGUAAAAAUAAUUUAAAUUUGCUAUGUACCCGAUUCUACUGAAAGUUUUUGUUAUGGAAUUGACUCAGCUUAAACUUGUCAAUUUUUUUGCUGUCAUUCACGUAAAUAUCUUGUCCUUUAAAUAAAUACCUUUAAGUAGAUGAUAAACUCGCCUAUCGACGAAUUUUCAUCUUCAGCGAGAUUGAAAAAUUACAUGAAAAUUGCAGCAAGUACAAUUUAAAUUUUAUUAAAUCCGUAAUAUUAAGACAGUUUACAUGUUCUUUACUGUUCUUGAAAAGUCGUUCAUUGCUAGGCACAUUUUAUUAUGUACAGGGUUAUUAAGUAUAGGACAUUACCUAAGAUUCUCAGAUUUUUAACAAUUAAGAGUUUCAAAAGUUAAUUAAAGGCUUACAGUUAUUGUCUGAUUGUUAUAUUCUUCACCAUCUACCCAUCGUAAUUGUACCAUCACAACUUAUAUUUAUCAAACUCCUCAUUCUUUUGGAGUUGGGAGAGUAAAAUUUACCGAAACUCUUAGAGAUAAUAAUAACAUAGAUUUCGAUAUAAUAAAAAAAAUAA